rnacentral:rRNA from 1 species
CCUACGGGUGGCAGCAGUGGGGAAUAUUGCACAAUGGGGGAAACCCUGAUGCAGCGACGCCGCGUGAGUGAAGAAGUAAUUCGUUACGUAAAGCUCUAUCAGCAGGGAAGAAACACUGACCUUACGGUCAGCAGAUGGUACCUGAGUAAGAAGCAGCGGCCAACUACGUGCCAGCAGCCGCGGUGAUACGUAGGGGGAAAGCGUUAUCCGGAUUUACUGGGGGUAAAGGGAGCGUAGACGGUGCGCCAAGUCUGGAGUGAAAUGCCGCCGCUUAACUGCGGAACUGCUUUGGAAACUGGCGAACUAGAGUGCAGGAGGGGUAAGCGGAAUUCCUAGUGUAGCGGUGAAAUGCGUAGAUAUUAGGAGGAACACCGGUGGCGAAGGCGGCUUACUGGACCGUAACUGACGUUGAGGCUCGAAAGCGUGGGGAGCAAACAGGAUUAGAUACCCGUGUAGUC